rnacentral:rRNA from 1 species
AGCGAACGCUGGCGGCAUGCCUAACACAUGCAAGUCGAACGAGACCUUCGGGUCUAGUGGCGCACGGGUGCGUAACGCGUGGGAACCUGCCCUUAGGUUCGGUAUAACUCCCCGAAAGGGGUGCUAAUACCGGAUAAUGUCUUCGGACCAAAGAUUUAUCGCCUUUGGAUGGGCCCGCGUUGGAUUAGCUAGUUGGUAGGGUAAAAGCCUACCAAGGCGACGAUCCAUAGCUGGUCUGAGAGGAUGAUCAGCCACACUGGGACUGAGACACGGCCCAGACUCCUACGGGAGGCAGCAGUGGGGAAUAUUGGACAAUGGGCGAAAGCCUGAUCCAGCAAUGCCGCGUGAGUGAUGAAGGCCUUAGGGUUGUAAAGCUCUUUUACCCGGGAUGAUAAUGACAGUACCGGGAGAAUAAGCUCCGGCUAACUCCGUG